CAGCAUGCAAGUGGAGCACCCGGAGACGGAUAUUUGUAACAGUACAUUUCGCAGUCCAGAAUUAAACUACCUUGCUAAAAAAAAGGAUUAAACUAGUACCUAGCCGUCCAGCUUCUCCUACCUGGCUACCUACCUCCUCUUGCUGUUGCUGCUCCUCCUCCUCUCUUCUGAUCCAAAAUAUGCCAUGAGAUAGAUCCGUGGUCCAGGAGCAAGAGGAAGCCCGAGCAUCUGGACGGAUGUGAUGUGCCUCUGCGGGAGGUGCGUACGGGUGAUUUCGCGCUCGCGAGUUGUGGUUUCGCCAUGGCCGGAGUUGUUGAGCUGCGGCUGGAAUGAGAAGCGAAGGUGCAUACGCAAGAAUGGAUGGGGGAAGGGAACACGGUGGAGAUGGCAGCAGCCAUGUGGGAUGCAAGGGCGCAGCGUCAGUAGGGCGUCGUUGGCUUCCAUCUACACCUCUCCGUCUCCGUCCAAGAGGCCCAGGAUCCUCGCUGAACUUGGCGGAUGUAGGCCGCCGUCGAGCCGUCCGAGCGCCCGCUCCCUCUGCACGCACACGUGCAGAUGCUGACCAUGGCGGGGCCGCGCGUCCGGCCGGCCGCGGAGGGGAGCGGCGGCGCAGGACCGGCCGCGGCUGGGAGCAGUGGCGCCGGCCAAGCCUCCCUGUCGAACAUCUGGGCGGGGACGUCGGUGUCUUGCCAGUCUCCUGGCCUCCUAAGCAGCGGGCGGGCCUUGCAGGAGACUGGGAGAGAGAUGAGCGGUGGUAGGAUGAGGAUGACGAUCCUGGGGAAGUGGGGAGUGGUAUAUCGUUGUAAUUUUGCAAUCCAGCUUCUAGGAUUUUUAGGAAUAUGAAAAUCUGGCUUCUUGAAUCUUUGGUAAAAUCUUUGGAUUCCAAACGGGCACGAAGUCAGGGUGGAAUGGAGUAGCGCACGAAGUGAGGAUUCUACUGGUGUCCGUGUGUCGCUUGGCCAGUGUAUUCAGCUGUCACUGUGCUUAUUAGUGCCCAAUCAUGUUUGAAAUAUGUGCAAAUAUGGUUGAAGCAGUAGUUAAUCCAACUAUAUGAUGCAUAUUUUUUUGUGCA